rnacentral:rRNA from 1 species
AGAUUGAACGCUGGCGGCAUGCCUUACACAUGCAAGUCGAACGGCAGCGCGGACUUCGGUCUGGCGGCGAGUGGCGAACGGGUGAGUAAUAUAUCGGAACGUGCCCAGUAGCGGGGGAUAACUACGCGAAAGCGUGGCUAAUACCGCAUACGCCCUACGGGGGAAAGGGGGGAUCGCAAGACCUCUCACUAUUGGAGCGGCCGAUAUCAGAUUAGCUAGUCGGUGAGGUAAAGGCUCACCAAGGCGACGAUCUGUAGCUGGUUUGAGAGGACGACCAGCCACACUGGGACUGAGACACGGCCCAGACUCCUACGGGAGGCAGCAGUGGGGAAUUUUGGACAAUGGGGGAAACCCUGAUCCAGCCAUCCCGCGUCGUGCGAUGAAGGCCUUCGGGUGUAAGCACUUUGGUCAGGGAAGAAACGGACGUUAGACUAAUAUUACAGCGUCACUGAACGGUACCUGCAGAAUAAGGCACCGGACUAACCGUACUAGCCACGCAGCCGA